GACGAACGCUGGCGGCGUGCUUAACACAUGCAAGUCGAACGGAAAGGCCCUGCUUUUGUGGGGUGCUCGAGUGGCGAACGGGUGAGUAACGCGUGAGUAACCUGCCCUUGACUUUGGGAUAACUUCAGGAAACUGGGGCUAAUACCGGAUAGGAGCUCCUGCUGCAUGGUGGGGGUUGGAAAGUUUCGGCGGUUGGGGAUGGACUCGCGGCUUAUCAGCUUGUUGGUGGGUAGUGGCUUACCAAGGCUUUGACGGGUAGCCGGCCUGAGAGGGUGACCGGCCACAUUGGGACUGAGAUACGGCCCAGACUCCUACGGGAGGCAGCAGUGGGGAAUAUUGCACAAUGGGCGGAAGCCUGAUGCAGCAACGCCGCGUGCGGGAUGACGGCCUUCGGGUUGUAAACCGCUUUCGCCUGUGACGAAGCGUGAGUGACGGUAAUGGGUAAAGAAGCACCGGCUAACUACGUG
rnacentral:rRNA from 1 species